ACAUACACACAUGUACACACACACACACACACACACACACACACUCCAAGUUGACGUGGUAAGACUGUGAGAAUGUACAGAAUGUAAAUGCCAAAUAUGACGUCAAAAAAGAAGGAACACCAUUAGGGGAAAUUAUAAUAAAGGCUAACCUCUCUCAGCAAAACCCAGGGAUUGGGAAGGUGGCAAAUGAAAGGGGGAAUUAAAAGGCCUUUCAAAGGCAUCACUGAAGGGAGGGAAGAGUGAAAGGAUCCUAAAUUUCUUAUUUUAUUGGGACCAGGAGAUAAAAAGGGGAAACAGUAUGUGGUGAGAUAAGUAGUUCAUCUCCAUGGGGGAACUAUUUGGUACCUUAUUUUCAAAUUAUAAUAGAAUCAUAUGCACCUAAUGAGCACAGUGAAAAAGGGGAGAGGAACCACCAAUGUACCAGAACAGUACAGAUGAACUCCUCUGAACAAAAGCUAGCAAAAUUAGAAAAGAUGGCCCCCAAAUAUUUUAAUACCUUGAAAGUACAGAAAGGAGUGAUGGUAUUUGGUGAGGAAAAAAAAAAAAAUAUUCCCUCUCAUUUACCCUCUCAGUUAUCCAGCAAAAAUCAUUGAAAAGAUUGUCAAAAGAAGUUUAUUCUUUAUUUUUUUAAAUAUUUAUUCAUUUAUUUAUUUGGCCAUGCCUAUGUCAUGCCAUGCAGAAGUUCCCAGUCCAGGGUUGGAACACACACCACAGCAGCAACCUGAGCCACAGCAGUGACAGCACCAAAUCCUUAACCCACUGAGCCACUGGGAAACUCCACUAGUUUCUUCUUUAGAUUCAAUUAAUUAUAAGCUAGAUUUUAUUAUGUGUUAUCAAACAGUGUUUUAUGCAGUUAAAUGGAAAUGUUAACCAUUUAUUUAUUUUUCCUCCAGGAUUGAUAACUGGCUUAAGGCAGCACUUGAAUGCUUGGAACAUUUCCCUGACCAGUUAGUAGUUAAUGUCAGCCAGCAGUUAGUACAGAACAGAAAUGAAGAGACAAGAUUGAAUAUGCUGAAGUUACUCUUUGAUGUCAUAGUAAAGUAUUAUAAUCAAGAGAGAGAUUGCUUAUUAACUGAUGAGUAUUUUGAUAUAUUCAUUUAGGAAUUAUUGAACUUUUAGGUAAGAGAUGUUUAAACUGCAUAAUAAUACUUUUUUUCCUCCUUUGGCAUGAGGAAUUUUCUAGGCCAGAGAUCAAACCCAUGCCACAGUAGUGACAAAGCCAGAUCCUUAACCUGCUGUGCCACAAGAGGACUCUAAUGAUACAUAUCUCAAAGAUACAAGUUGCAGAAAAUUUUGCGUACUGUAUGAGUAUUGCAUUUUAAUUUUUCUU
rnacentral:lncRNA from 1 species